ACGAACGCUGGCGGCACGCUUAACACAUGCAAGUCGAACGAGAGAAGAGAAGCUUGCUUUUCUGAUCUAGUGGCGGACGGGUGAGUAACACGUGAGCAAUCUGCCUUUCAGAGGGGGAUACCGAUUGGAAACGAUCGUUAAUACCGCAUAAUAUAAUUGAACCGCAUGAUUUGAUUAUCAAAGAUUUAUCGCUGAAAGAUGAGCUCGCGUCUGAUUAGCUAGUUGGUAAGGUAACGGCUUACCAAGGCGACGAUCAGUAGCCGGACUGAGAGGUUGAUCGGCCACAUUGGGACUGAGACACGGCCCAGACUCCUACGGGAGGCAGCAGUGGGGAAUAUUGCACAAUGGAGGAAACUCUGAUGCAGCGAUGCCGCGUGAGGGAAGAAGGUUUUAGGAUUGUAAACCUCUGUCUUCAGGGACGAAAAAUGACGGUACCUGAGGAGGAAGCUCCGGCUAACUACGUGCCAGCAGCCGCGGUAAUACGUAGGGAGCGAGCGUUGUCCGGAAUUACUGGGUGUAAAGGGAGCGUAGGCGGGAUCGCAAGUCAGAUGUGAAAACUAUGGGCUUAACCCAUAAACUGCAUUUGAAACUGUGGUUCUUGAGUGAAGUAGAGGUAAGCGGAAUUCCUAGUGUAACGGUGAAAUGCGUAGAUAUUAGGAGGAACAUCAGUGGCGAAGGCGGCUUACUGGGCUUUAACUGACGCUGAGGCUCGAAAGCGUGGGGAGCAAACAGGAUUAGAUACCCUGGUAGUCCACGCCGUAAACGAUGAUUACUAGGUGUGGGGGGACUGACCCCUUCCGUGCCGCAGCAAACGCAAUAAGUAAUCCACCUGGGGAGUACGACCGCAAGGUUGAAACUCAAAGGAAUUGACGGGGGCCCGCACAAGCAGUGGAGUAUGUGGAUUAAUUCGAAGCAACGCGAAGAACCUUACCAGGUCUUGACAUCGUAUGCAUAGCUCAGAGAUGAGUGAAAUCUCUUCGGAGACAUAUAGACAGGUGGUGCAUGGUUGUCGUCAGCUCGUGUCGUGAGAUGUUGGGUUAAGUCCCGCAACGAGCGCAACCCUUACUGUUAGUUGCUACGCAAGAGCACUCUAGCAGGACUGCCGUUGACAAAACGGAGGAAGGUGGGGAUGACGUCAAAUCAUCAUGCCCCUUAUGACCUGGGCCUCACACGUACUACAAUGGCUGUCAACAGAGGGAAGCAAAGCCGCGAGGUGGAGCAAACCCCUAAAAGCAGUCUUAGUUCGGAUUGUAGGCUGCAACCCGCCUACAUGAAGUCGGAAUUGCUAGUAAUCGCAGAUCAGCAUGCUGCGGUGAAUACGUUCCCGGGCCUUGUACACACCGCCCGUCACGCCAUGGGAGUCGGUAACACCCGAAGCCUGUAGUCUAACCGCAAGGAGGACGCAGUCGAAGGUGGGAUUGAUGACUGGGGUG
rnacentral:rRNA from 1 species